rnacentral:rRNA from 1 species
CCUACGGGGGGCUGCAGUAAGGAAUAUUGGUCAAUGGACGCAAGUCUGAACCAGCCAUGCCGCGUGGAGGAUGAAGGUCCUCUGGAUUGUAAACUUCUUUUAUUUGGGAAGAAACUCCCGAUUUCCAUCGGGAUUGACGGUACCAGAUGAAUAAGCACCGGCUCACUCCGUGCCAGCAGCCGCGGUAAUACGGAGGGUGCAGGCGUUACUGGGAUUAACUGGGGUGAAGGUGGGCAUAGAAGUGCGGGGUGAAAUAUCCGGGCUUAACCCGGAAACUGCCAUUGAUACUAUUUGUCUUGAAUACUCUGGAGGUGAGCGGAAUAUGUCAUGUAGCGGUGAAAUGCUUAGAUAUGACAUAGAACACCCAUUGCGAAGGCAGCUCACUACGGAAAUAUUGACGCUGAGGCACGAAAGCGUGGGGAUCAAACAGGAUUAGAUACCCGUGUAGUC